ACGAAAUGCUGAAAGUAUCUUCAUUACAUCCUCCCACCAACAGCACAAGACAGGUUGUGGAGGAGACCAUUACCUGCCAUCACUCACCUCCUCCGUGCAGCACGGCCACCAUGAUGGACGGGAACCAUGAUGUCUCGCUGUUGCUGGCCUGGAACUCAUGCUGGAGGUCCGUGAAGAAGACACCAAUGCAGGAUGGGAAGCCCAGCGUCAACCCCUGCAGCACCACUUCAGCCAGCAGGACCAUCCAUGCCCAUCCCUGGUCCUGGGGCUUGGCAGUGCCACGUCCUGCUGCUUCUCCUUGGGACAUGAUAGCUCUGUUCUCCUCUAAGCCAGCCUGCUGGGGAAGGGAGUGCAGCUACCAUGCAACCCUCAGCCCAGCAAACAGGCCUUCAGGGAAGAGCUGACAGGCUCAGAGCACCGGGGAAUUCAAAUGGAUACAUCUGAGCAGGUGCCUUACCUUGGCCUUCUCACUUGGCUCCUUGACAAUGCCAUUGGUAGAAUUGUUGAGCUCCCUGGACACAACACAGAGGAAUUCUGCCUGGUCUUCAUUUCCAUAGUUAUAGGAAGAUCCAAUGCUGAUCAGCUGUGCAACAGGAGACAGCCAAGGGGCAGGUUUUUGGCCACCUCUCCACUCUGAGAUCGUUUUCAGGCAUUACAGAACAGAUCCAUGAGAACAACUGAUGGGAAGUGCUGUUCCUAAUCCUCUGCCUCACUUCAUGUCAGCACACUGACAGCAUCCACCUGUACUGAAGCUGGACCAAAUAGGAAGACACAGCUGUAAUCCACAGACCCUAUUCUGUAGUUUCUUAAUAUAACAACACAACACCCAGGCCUGCUGGCUCCAAUUCUCCCUCCUCAGAAAUAAGAGAACUGUGCUUGAUUCCAGAAACCAAAUGUGGAACUAAUGCCAUAUGCAACUGCAGUGACACCCAGCCCUGGAACCAGCUGCACUGCAAGGACAUCUGCAGAAAGUUCUCAUGUCACUCUGAGCCUCUUUAGCAAAUGCAGCAGUCAUGG